UCCCAGGUGGCUCAGCGGUAAAGCAUCUGCCUGCCAAGCAGGCAAUGCAGGUUUGAUCCCUGGGUCAGGAA
rnacentral:tRNA from 1 species